CAACAACAGCAAAAUGUCCUGCUGAGUAUGCAUUUGGUGGACAGUUUCAAAGUAUCACAGGGUGAAAAGUGAAUGCUAGAAAUGAUCUAAUCCAACCUUUCAUCAUAAAUACAUUUGGGGUAUAUGAUUGUCUUUCUUUUCUACAGAUGAAGAGGUAAACUUGAAAUUUGGAGUUAUAAAUGACAGCUGCAAUGUUAUGCCAACUUGAUUUAGCAUAAAAGUUAUUUCUGUAUUUUGAUUGCUCAGCAUCAAGAUCAUCUGGAUCCACAUAGGUGCUGGUGAUUCAGCAGAGAGCAAGAGAGGACAAGUCCCUGCUCUCCGAGUUAUAUUCUAUAAGGCGGCAGGGACUAUUUUGACAGUAGCCUUCAGGGAAGCCCUCACAGUAAGGCGAUCAGAAUUAAGUAAGGAACUGAACCACAGGAAUAUCUGGGGGAAGAGUUUUCCAAAUGGAACAGCAACAGAAGAGCUUUAAGAUCCCCAUAGGCUGCACCAGAAUGUAAUGGACAGCAGGGGACCUGUACCUCAGCUACUGCUUCUGUGCCUGUGAGUCCCCACUGGAAACACUUGCAAAAGGCCUAUUUGAGUGCGAUCGGGUCAGUCACCCUUGCUUGAGUGGCAUGUGUGAAGUCAGCAGAGACUACAGGUAGAUGUGGAGCAGGCUUCCCAAACCCGGAUGAAAACUGAAAGACCAAAUCAGUACUUCCAGAACACUCACAAAGGGAUUUUCCAAAACGUGCGCAACCUGGUUUCAGAUCUCAGGACUUGAAAGAGAAGUCAGUUUGACCCUCUAUCAGAUGCAGCACACAGAAGGCCGAUAGCUCAGCUGGUGGGUAUGCAUUUCAGGUACAAGGUAUCUGCUCGGCGGUGCUACCUAUCCUCCCAACUCGCCUUGCUGGACACCCCAUUUGUUCCGGACAAGAGAGGGAAGCCAGGUGAACCUGACACAGCUGCUGAAUUAUCCAGAGAUGUUCCCCGGCAUACCCCUUCUUCACUCUCCACAUAGCAAACACGUGAAAGCCUCCUUAAACAGGAGAACAGGGCAGUGGGGAGUCAUGGUGAGACUUUCCCCCCAAAAUACUAAAACAAAAAACUAAAACAUGACCACUUAGCAAUAUCCUAACAUCAAGGGGGAACAAUGUGGAAAUGUGAGAAAUAUGAUUGUUCACGAAUUCAGCUGUGUAAACUAAGAUGGAUAUCGUGGUUCUAUUUGUCCUCUAACAAUGUAAACAUUGCAUAUUUUUUAUUCAUUAGAAACUGAAAUGAAAAACCAUAGCCUUCAGGGUGCUUGGGUGGCUCGGUUGGGUGUCUGACUUUUGGUUUUGGCUCCGGUCGUGGUCUC